GUCAGGCGCCUGGCGGUGGUCUUCCUUUCUCUACGAAACGGCUACCAACUGCUGACCAGAAUUAUCCUUCACGAACAAUCCCACGGCUUUAAAUAAACAGAGCACUCAGUGCCUUCAAAGUGCAGCCCAUUCAUCUUUAAGAAUCUUGCUUCCCAUCUGACGUCACACAUUUCUCCUGCUUUUCAACUUCUUCCAGUCAUCAGGCUCUAUUCUGGAGUUGUAACUUGGCUGCAUCAACAUCCCCAAACACCAAUAGCAGCACCAAAAUGAACAGUGACUCAACCAAUGGCGUCCAUUUGGGGGCGGGACUAACGCCUUUUCAG